rnacentral:rRNA from 1 species
UACAGAGGUCCCAAGCGUUGUUCGGAUUUACUGGGCGUAAAGGGUGCGUAGGCGGUCGGAUAAGUUUGAUGUGAAAGCUCGGAGCCUAACUCCGAAACGGCAUUGAAUACUAUCUGGCUGGAGGUUGGGAUGGGGGACUGGAAUUCUCGGUGUAGCAGUGAAAUGCGUAGAUAUCGAGAGGAACACCAGUGGCGAAGGCGAGUCCCUGGACCAAUCCUGACGCUGAGGCACGAAAGCCAGGGGAG